CCUACGGGAGGCAGCAGUGGGGAAUAUUGCACAAUGGGGGGAACCCUGAUGCAGCGACGCCGCGUGAGUGAAGAAGUAUUUCGGUAUGUAAAGCUCUAUCAGCAGGGAAGAAAAUGACGGUACCUGACUAAGAAGCCCCGGCUAACUACGUGCCAGCAGCCGCGGUAAUACGUAGGGGGCAAGCGUGAUCCGGAUUUACUGGGUGUAAAGGGAGCGCAGACGGCUGUGCAAGUCUGGAGUGAAAGGCGGGGGCCCAACCCCCGGACUGCUCUGGAAACUGUAAAGCUGGAGUGCAGGAGAGGUAAGCGGAAUUGCUAGUGUAGCGGUGAAAGGCGUAGAUAUUAGGAGGAACACCAGUGGCGAAGGCGGCUUACUGGACUGCAACUGACGUUGAGGCUCGAAAGCGUGGGGAGCAAACAGGAUUAGAUACCCCUGUAGUC
rnacentral:rRNA from 1 species